UUCAAACCUGAGAGAAAGAGGAGUAGGCUUUUGAAACUAUCACAGAGAGCUGUCAUAUGGUGGAAGACAGUAUAGGGACAAUUGUUGAAUGGGCUUUCGAGGACGGUCCGAACUUACAGUAGGCACCGGCGGGAUUCGCACCCGUUAUCAUGGCGACAUGUAUGAUAGUGCAUGGAGGAAAGGAUGAAAGAAAUCAUUUAUAUUUUAACAGACUUUCAUCGAAAUUGAGUGGCACCGCGUUAAUUGAUUAUUACCGCCUCAAGU
rnacentral:ncRNA from 1 species